GAGAGAGAGAGAGAGAGAGAGAGAGGAGAGAGAGAGAGAGAGAAGGAGAGAGAGAGAGAAGAGAGAGAGAGAGAGAAGAGAGAGAGAGAGAGAAGAGAGAGAGAGAAGAAGAGAGAGAGAGGAGAGAGAGAGAGAGAGAGAGAGAGAGAGAGAAGAAGAGAGAGAAGAGAGAGAGAGAAGAAGAGAGAGAGAGAGAGAGAAGAAGAGAGAGAGAAGAGAGAGAGAGAGAGAGAGAGAGAGAGAGAGAGAGAGAGAGAGAGAGAGAGAGAGGAAGAAGAGAGAGAAGAAGAGAGAGAAGGAGAGAGAGAAAGAGAGAGAGAGAGAGAGAAGGAGAGAGAGAAAGAGAAGAAGAAGAGAGAGAAGAAGAAGAGAGAGAAGGAGAGAGAGGGACCAUUAUUUACUCUGUAACUCCAUAACUAUUCUAAUGAUGGAAGGUUGUACCUGGUGCAUAGUACCUCUGACUUUAUUCUGUCUGCUUCUCUUCAUCUCUGUGUGUCUCAAUCUCACCCUCUGCAUUCUGAGACACAGGGACACCAGACACAAAGCAGACAAUGAGGAGUUUCUCAACCAACAGCAUUAUCCAAGAGAGAGUAGAUUGGAGGAGGAAGAGGAGGAAGAGGAGAAUCAGCAGCAGGAGAAUCCCAUCUAUGGAAACAUCACUAUAGACUUGUGCUAUGAAUCCAUGACCAAUCAACGUUCCAGAAAUGACAGAAAGCCUGCGCCCCAGCCCCAACAACAACCUGACCUGAACUAUGCUUCUCUUGACCUGAACGUGGGACAGAUACCCAAGAAGAGGAAGCGUCGCUACCAGCAGGCCCAGGCCCAGGCCCAGGCCCUGCCCGAGUCCCAGAUGGGUGGGGGUUUCCUGGAAAUAGAUGCGGAAAUGGAGGCCUCCCUCCCCUCACGGAGUAGCAGCCCUCUGGCUUCUAGAAACAGCAUCUAUCUCAACAGUCUACAGAUGGCACUACAGACAGAGGAGAGGGAAUAAGAGAGAGUCAAGGGGAGGGAGAUGGAGGAGGAUAGAGAUUGGGAUGGAGACAGGAAGUGAGGAGAGGGGGAGAAAGAAACAGUAGGUUGUGAUGGAGGGAUGGAGACUGGAAGUGAGGAGAGGGGCAGAAAGAUACAGUAGAUUGUGAUGGAGGGAUGGAGACAGGAAGUGGGAGAGGGGCAGAAAGAUACAGUAGGUUGUGAUGGAGGGAUUGAGACAGGAAGUAACAUGUGACUGGGGUUAGAGGUUAGGGAGGAAGACCAACGGUCCUAAAUGUGAACUCAAGAACUCAAUUAGGCAGAGAGAGCGAGAAAGAGAGGGAGGGAGAGAGACAAAGAGAAUGAGAGAGAGAGAGAGAACUUGUGUUUAUUUUUUUAUUUUUUGUAUUUAACCUUUAUUUAACUAGGCAAGUACAGGUAGACAAACAUAUUAACCUACUUUAACCUCUAGCCAAUAUGUUACAAUCAGACAUUAUAGAGAAAGGGGCUCCCACUGCAUAAACUGCAGAUAUGUAUAUAUUAUUAUUAUUAUUAUUAUAUAUUUUUAUUAUUAGUAGUGUUCGUAUAUACAGUGUACAGUGCAUUCGAAGAGUAUUCAGACCCCUUGACUUUUUCCACAUUUGGUGACGUUACAGCCUUAUUCUAAAAUUAAUUUUUAAAAAACAAUUCCCCUCAUCAAUCUACAAACAAAAGCUCAUAAUCACAAAGCAUAAACAGUUUUUUAGGAUUUUUUUUUUAUACAAAUGUAUUAAAAAUAAAAAUCUGAAUAUCACAUUUACAUAAGUAUUCAGACCCUAUAAUCAGUACUUUGUUGAAGCACCUUUAGCAGCGAUUACAGCCUUGAGUCUUCUUGGUUAUGACGCUACAAGCUUGGCACACCUGUAUUUGGGGAGUUUCUCCCAUUCUUUUCUGCAGAUCCUCUCAAGCUCUGUCAGGUUGGAUGGGAGGGCGUCGCUGCACAGCUAUUUUCAGAGCUGUUAGAUCGGGUUCAAGCCCGGGCUCUGGCUGGGUCACUCAACUACAUUCAGAGACUUGUCCCGAAGCCACUCCUGCGUUGUCUUGGCUGUGUGCUUAGGGUCGUUGUUCUGUUGGAAGGUGAACCUUCGGCCCCCAGUCUGAGUUCCUGAGCGCUCUGGAGCAGGUUUUCAUCAAGGAUCUCUCUGUACUUUGCUCAGUUCAUCUUUCCCUCGUUCCUGACUAUUCUCCCAGUCCCUGCCGCUGAAAAACAUCCCCACAACAUGAUGCUGCCAUCACCACGCUUCACCGUAGGGAUUGUGCCAGGGAUGCUUCCAAAAAAUGUUUUUAAUCAAUUUUAGAAUAAGGCUGUAAUGUAACAAAAUGUAGAAAAUGGGAAGGGGUCUGAAUACUUUCUGAAGGCACUGUAUAUAUACAUUCUCAAAAGUUUUUCUUUAUUUUGACUAUUUUCUACGUUGUAGAAUAAUAGUGAAGACAUCAAAACUAUGAAAUAACACAUAUGGACUCAUGUAGUAACCAAAAAAGUGUUAAACAAAUCAAAAUAUAUUUUAUAUUUGAGAUUCUUCAAAUAGCUACUCUUUGCCUUGAUGACAGCUUUGCACACUAUUGGCAUUCUCUCAACCAGCUUCACCUGGAAUGCUUUUCCAAUGUUCUUGAAGGAAUUCCCACAUGCUGAGCACUUGUUGGCUGCUUUUCCUUCAAUCUGCGGUCCAACUCAUCCCAAACCAUCUCAAUUGGGUUGAGGUCGGGUGAUUGUGGAGGCCAGGUCAUCUGAUGCAGCACUCCAUCACUCUCCUUCUUGGUCAAAUAGCCCUUUCACAGCCUGGAUGUGUUUUGGGUCAUUGUCCUGUUGAAAAACAAAUGAUAGUCCCACUAAGUGCAAACCAGAUAGGAUGGUGUAUUGCUGCAGUUGUAAAUGAGAACUUGAUCUCAACUAGCCUACCUGGUUAAAUAAAGCUGAAAUAAAAUGUUAAAAAAUGAAUCAUUUCUGAAGGCACUGUACCUCUCAAAUCUCAUGCAGGGAGGGGUAGACAACACAUUCACACAUUCACACGGACUGACUGACUGACUGGCUGACUGACUGG
rnacentral:lncRNA from 1 species